rnacentral:rRNA from 1 species
GAGCACGUAGGUGGGUUUGUAAGUCAGAUGCGAAGGCCUUCUGUUCAACGGAAGGAUGGCAUCUGAAACUGCGAGUCUUGAGUGUAGGAGGGGAGAAUGGAACUUCUGGUGGAGCGGUGAAAUGCGUAGAUAUCAGAAGGAACGCCGGCGGCGAAAGCGAUUCUCUGGCCUAUUACUGACACUCAGUGUGCGAAAGCUGGGGGAGCAAACGGGAUUAGAUACCCCGGUAGUCCUAGCUGUAAGCGAUGGGCCCUAGGAAAAGGGGUUUU